UCCUACGGGAGGCAGCAGUGGGGAAUUUUGGACAAUGGGCGCAAGCCUGAUCCAGCCAUGCCGCGUGAGUGAAGAAGGCCUUCGGGUUGUAAAGCUCUUUCAGGUGGAAAGAAAUCGCACCUUUUAAUACAGGGUGUGGAUGACGGUACCAUCAGAAGAAGCACCGGCUAACUACGUGCCAGCAGCCGCGGUAAUACGUAGGGUGCGAGCGUUAAUCGGAAUUACUGGGCGUAAAGCGUGCGCAGGCGGUUAUGUAAGACAGAUGUGAAAUCCCCGGGCUCAACCUGGGAACUGCGUUUGUGACUGCAUAACUAGAGUACGGCAGAGGGAGGUGGAAUUCCGCGUGUAGCAGUGAAAUGCGUAGAGAUGCGGAGGAACACCGAUGGCGAAGGCAGCCUCCUGGGCCAGUACUGACGCUCAUGCACGAAAGCGUGGGGAGCAAACAGGAUUAGAUACCCUGGUAGUCCACGCCCUAAACGAUGUCAACUAGUUGUUCGGUGAGGAGACUCAUUGAGUAACGCAGCUAACGCGUGAAGUUGACCGCCUGGGGAGUACGGCCGCAAGGUUAAAACUCAAAGGAAUUGACGG
rnacentral:rRNA from 1 species